rnacentral:lncRNA from 1 species
GUGAUGUUUGUGUUUUCCCAAACAUUAUACAUCUCCCCCAGUCAUUGCGACCUUUCAACGAUGCCACAGAGGGACCUUUCAGUAAAUCCCUCAGGACUUGCAGGCACAUCUAUGGAUAGUCCUAUGGACUUGUAUGUACACAAUUGACUUUAGCAUGCCUUAGCUGUGCCCUUUUCUCCUGCAGGUAACAAGCCACUCUGCCAGGGCCCUGAGAGCACCAAUAGGCAGGAAUUGCCUUGAUCAGCCUCAGCUGGAACCUCCACCCAUGCACCCACUGCCCAUGGGCUUAGGAGCUCUAUUUAAGCUCAUGCCCAGGUUAUCAAUUCUACUCUUGAGUUAUGUUGUAAUUUUAGGCUAUGUUUUUAGUUCUGUUUUGUUUUGAUUAUGAAGAAAUAUUUGAAUUUAUUGGUUUGACUUCAGAUGUGACUUGUUUGCUUUGCCUGAUGGUUACUGAUGGGACUUCUGCUCAGUACUGUGGGACUUGUGCAGACAGGCUGGAACGGAGGCUGUGGAUCCAUGGACAACCCAGGGGAAGACUGCAUUGCCGUCACAGCUAAUAGAGUGAUAAGGGUUGCAUUGUGGGCAUGAAAAUUGUCUAAACUGCUUAGCAGAAACAGUAGUUGCUCCACUGUGAGAGCUGUGAGUCCUUCCUUAUCUCUGUGCCAAAGGCCUUGAAAAGUCUUAAGGCAGCGCCAGUCUUGCACUCCGUGACAAGGAGCUGACCUGCCUUGGGAAGGAAGUGAACUCCUGCCUGCUCUGCCCUCAUCCGGUUUGGAGCCAAAGAUGUCACUUCACCACAAAAGGAGAGAGGAAGGAGGAAGGGGGAAUGACCUCACUGGGCCGCAGCAUAGAGCACAAAGGAUACAAGAGCAGUCGGGAGCGAACUCAUAUUCUGGGAACUUCCCCAGCAUUUCUGAAGGCGUCAUCGCUAUCUGCAAAUAACCAGGCAACCUCCUGCCUGACACUCUUGUCUGAAACCACUUACCCACCCGUCAGAUCUGGUCUGACAUGAACAGUACAUCUCCCAGGCUUCCUCCCACUGUUCCUCCUGCAUGGACUAGUACCAGCUGCCUUUGCUGCCUCCUCUGCAUACAGCAGCCUUUGCUGUUCCUGCUGGUGAUCUGCCCAGGCGCCACUCAGGGUCUUUGGGCGCAGUUUGGGAUGUGACUAAGUCCUGGGAUAGUCACAGGUCCAUCCACCUUGACAACUAAGAAAUGAAUGAAAG